CUGGCUUUGUACGUAUCAGUUCAAGCUUGAAUUUGACCUGUCAGCUUCCUCUAUACAGAAUGUUAGCCACUUUGACCUAAACCUGCUGAUUUAAUUCUUAGCUCUUGCCUACCUGCACAUGUUGGAUUAUCUUUUAGUUAGAAAAAGAAACAGGAAAUCACAUACUCAUGUAAACUAUGUAAUUGAGCACAUGCAAUGCUAUAGAGUGAGGAGAGGGAGGACAGUGGCUUUUUCUCCUCAUUUUCUGUUCCUAGACCCCACAACAGAUGAUCUCAUCAUACAGGUCUUCUACUCCUUAAGAUAGACAAGAUUGAUGAAAGACUGGAAAUGACUUUGCCUGGACCAUGAUUCAGCGACACUGUCCCUGUGGCAAGACUAUUGGCCAGGCUCAAACGCAGUGGCUGAUCCUCACUGACUCCUCUUCCUAAGGUUGUUGUACUAGGAGCAUCUCCUAACACUACACGGACACAAUUCAAUGACAAAAAUCAGAGAAGGUCUACAGACUGUACAAGAAACAUGGAAUCAGCAUCUCUAUCUGAUGAAGGCCUUAGGAAUCUUCCACUCAUGGAGGAAGGUGAAGGGGAGGCAGG
rnacentral:lncRNA from 1 species